UCUCCGUUGGUGAACCUGCGGAGGGAUCAUUACCGAAUUUACAACUCCCAAAACCCUAUCUGAACGUUACCCCACUGUUUCCUCGGCUGGAAAUUCAGGCCGCGGGCGCGUCGCAUCCCCGGACCACGGCUCCCGCCGCAGGACCAACCAAAACUCUUUUGUAUGUCCCUCGCGGACUUUUGUAAUUCUCAACCGUCUCUGCGCCACUAUCGAGCGUUUCGACAAUGAAUCAAAUCUUUCAACAACCGAUCUCUUGGUUCUGUCAUCGAUGAAGAACGC
rnacentral:misc_RNA from 1 species